rnacentral:rRNA from 1 species
GGGUUGUGAGGUUAAGCGACUAAGCGUACACGGUGGAUGCCCUGGCAGUCAGAGGCGAUGAAGGACGUGCUAAUCUGCGAUAAGCGUCGGUAAGGUGAUAUGAACCGUUAUAACCGGCGAUUUCCGAAUGGGGAAACCCAGUGUGAUUCGUCACACUAUCAUUAACUGAAUCCAUAGGUUAAUGAGGCGAACCGGGGGAACUGAAACAUCUAAGUACCCCGAGGAAAAGAAAUCAACCGAGAUUCCCCCAGUAGCGGCGAGCGAACGGGGAGCAGCCCAGAGCCUGAAUCAGUGUGUGUGUUAGUGGAAGCGUCUGGAAAGGCGCGCGAUACAGGGUGACAGCCCCGUACACAAAAAUGCACAUGCUGUGAGCUCGAUGAGUAGGGCGGGACACGUGGUAUCCUGUCUGAAUAUGGGGGGACCAUCCUCCAAGGCUAAAUACUCCUGACUGACCGAUAGUGAACCAGUACCGUGAGGGAAAGGCGAAAAGAACCCCGGCGAGGGGAGUGAAAAAGAACCUGAAACCGUGUACGUACAAGCAGUGGGAGCACGCUUAGGCGUGUGACUGCGUACCUUUUGUAUAAUGGGUCAGCGACUUAUAUUCUGUAGCAAGGUUAACCGAAUAGGGGAGCCGAAGGGAAACCGAGUCUUAACUGGGCGUUAAGUUGCAGGGUAUAGACCCGAAACCCGGUGAUCUAGCCAUGGGCAGGUUGAAGGUUGGGUAACACUAACUGGAGGACCGAACCGACUAAUGUUGAAAAAUUAGCGGAUGACUUGUGGCUGGGGGUGAAAGGCCAAUCAAACCGGGAGAUAGCUGGUUCUCCCCGAAAGCUAUUUAGGUAGCGCCUCGUGAAUUCAUCUCCGGGGGUAGAGCACUGUUUCGGCAAGGGGGUCAUCCCGACUUACCAACCCGAUGCAAACUGCGAAUACCGGAGAAUGUUAUCACGGGAGACACACGGCGGGUGCUAACGUCCGUCGUGAAGAGGGAAACAACCCAGACCGCCAGCUAAGGUCCCAAAGUCAUGGUUAAGUGGGAAACGAUGUGGGAAGGCCCAGACAGCCAGGAUGUUGGCUUAGAAGCAGCCAUCAUUUAAAGAAAGCGUAAUAGCUCACUGGUCGAGUCGGCCUGCGCGGAAGAUGUAACGGGGCUAAACCAUGCACCGAAGCUGCGGCAGCGACACUAUGUGUUGUUGGGUAGGGGAGCGUUCUGUAAGCCUGUGAAGGUGUACUGUGAGGUAUGCUGGAGGUAUCAGAAGUGCGAAUGCUGACAUAAGUAACGAUAAAGCGGGUGAAAAGCCCGCUCGCCGGAAGACCAAGGGUUCCUGUCCAACGUUAAUCGGGGCAGGGUGAGUCGACCCCUAAGGCGAGGCCGAAAGGCGUAGUCGAUGGGAAACAGGUUAAUAUUCCUGUACUUGGUGUUACUGCGAAGGGGGGACGGAGAAGGCUAUGUUGGCCGGGCGACGGUUGUCCCGGUUUAAGCGUGUAGGCUGGUUUUCCAGGCAAAUCCGGAAAAUCAAGGCUGAGGCGUGAUGACGAGGCACUACGGUGCUGAAGCAACAAAUGCCCUGCUUCCAGGAAAAGCCUCUAAGCAUCAGGUAACAUCAAAUCGUACCCCAAACCGACACAGGUGGUCAGGUAGAGAAUACCAAGGCGCUUGAGAGAACUCGGGUGAAGGAACUAGGCAAAAUGGUGCCGUAACUUCGGGAGAAGGCACGCUGAUAUGUAGGUGAAGCGACUUGCUCGUGGAGCUGAAAUCAGUCGAAGAUACCAGCUGGCUGCAACUGUUUAUUAAAAACACAGCACUGUGCAAACACGAAAGUGGACGUAUACGGUGUGACGCCUGCCCGGUGCCGGAAGGUUAAUUGAUGGGGUCAGCGCAAGCGAAGCUCUUGAUCGAAGCCCCGGUAAACGGCGGCCGUAACUAUAACGGUCCUAAGGUAGCGAAAUUCCUUGUCGGGUAAGUUCCGACCUGCACGAAUGGCGUAAUGAUGGCCAGGCUGUCUCCACCCGAGACUCAGUGAAAUUGAACUCGCUGUGAAGAUGCAGUGUACCCGCGGCAAGACGGAAAGACCCCGUGAACCUUUACUAUAGCUUGACACUGAACAUUGAGCCUUGAUGUGUAGGAUAGGUGGGAGGCUUUGAAGUGUGGACGCCAGUCUGCAUGGAGCCGACCUUGAAAUACCACCCUUUAAUGUUUGAUGUUCUAACGUUGACCCGUAAUCCGGGUUGCGGACAGUGUCUGGUGGGUAGUUUGACUGGGGCGGUCUCCUCCUAAAGAGUAACGGAGGAGCACGAAGGUUGGCUAAUCCUGGUCGGACAUCAGGAGGUUAGUGCAAUGGCAUAAGCCAGCUUGACUGCGAGCGUGACGGCGCGAGCAGGUGCGAAAGCAGGUCAUAGUGAUCCGGUGGUUCUGAAUGGAAGGGCCAUCGCUCAACGGAUAAAAGGUACUCCGGGGAUAACAGGCUGAUACCGCCCAAGAGUUCAUAUCGACGGCGGUGUUUGGCACCUCGAUGUCGGCUCAUCACAUCCUGGGGCUGAAGUAGGUCCCAAGGGUAUGGCUGUUCGCCAUUUAAAGUGGUACGCGAGCUGGGUUUAGAACGUCGUGAGACAGUUCGGUCCCUAUCUGCCGUGGGCGCUGGAGAACUGAGGGGGGCUGCUCCUAGUACGAGAGGACCGGAGUGGACGCAUCACUGGUGUUCGGGUUGUCAUGCCAAUGGCACUGCCCGGUAGCUAAAUGCGGAAGAGAUAAGUGCUGAAAGCAUCUAAGCACGAAACUUGCCCCGAGAUGAGUUCUCCCUGACCCUUUAAGGGUCCUGAAGGAACGUUGAAGACGACGACGUUGAUAGGCCGGGUGUGUAAGCGCAGCGAUGCGUUGAGCUAACCGGUACUAAUGAACCGUGAGGCUUAACCUUACAACGCCGAAGGUGUUU